ensembl:snRNA
AAAAAGGGCUUCUGCCAUGAGUGGCACACGUAGGGCAACUUGAUUGCUCUGCGGGCAGAAUCGACAUCAACGGAUUUUGGAGGCAUAAUUUUUUGGUACCUGGGCAGCUAGUGAUUGUUGGUCCCGGUGGGAGA